CAGCUCGUGUUGUGAAAUGUUGGGUUAAGUCCCGCAACGAGCGCAACCCUUAUCCUUUGUUGCCAGCGGUCCGGCCGGGAACUCAAAGGAGACUGCCAGUGAUAAACUGGAGGAAGGUGGGGAUGACGUCAAGUCAUCAUGGCCCUUACGACCAGGGCUACACACGUGCUACAAUGGCGCAUACAAAGAGAAGCGACCUCGCGAGAGCAAGCGGACCUCAUAAAGUGCGUCGUAGUCCGGAUUGGAGUCUGCAACUCGACUCCAUGAAGUCGGAAUCGCUAGUAAUCGUGGAUCAGAAUGCCACGGUGAAUACGUUCCCGGGCCUUGUACACACCGCCCGUCACACCAUGGGAGUGGGUUGCAAAAGAAGUAGGUAGCUUAACCUUCGGGAGGGCGCUUACCACUUUGUGAUUCAUGACUGGGGUGAAGUCGUAACAAGGUAACCGUAGGGGAACCUGCGGUU
rnacentral:rRNA from 1 species